AAUGAAGUAAACAAUUUCGUGUGUAUGUGAAAAUAAUAUUGAAAUUCUAAAAUGAAUUCUAACAACUAUUAAGAGACAUUAAUCAUAAAUUCUAAUUUAAAAAUUGUUAUUUUUCACACUAUAAAAUAAUAAUAAAAUGUAUAUUUUAAAAUACAAAUUAAAGAACAUAUGGCCGAGAUUCUUAAGUUUGUUAGUGUCAUAAUUAUUUUUCUUUUCAUAUUCUUCGUUGUAACCGAUGGAGUUAUCAUAUGUGAAACUACUAGAUAUUGUCGUAGAGAAAUGACUAAAUGCUUUCGUCCUAAACUUCCAAAGUGUGUAUCAGGGAUAUGUCAAUGUUGCUAAUUGUAGGAAUAAAGUUAAAAAAUAAUUCCAAGUACUUGCAUGUAUAAUGUAUAAUGGUUGUACUUUAAUAAUUUUCUCAAACUUCAACCUAUGUUCUCUGAACUUUCAAAUUAAUUUGAUCCACUCAAAUGCUUAUUAUUUUUUUAUACAAAAAUGCUUAUUAUUUUAUUA